rnacentral:tRNA from 1 species
AGCCCUGUCGUAUAGCGGUCAAGUAUAUUGCCCUCUGAAGGCGAUGACCCAGGUUCGAAUCCUGGCGGGGCUA